AGUGAACGCUGGCGGUAGGCCUAACACAUGCAAGUCGAACGGCAGCACAGUAAGAGCUUGCUCUUACGGGUUGCGAGUGGCGGACGUGUGAGGAGUACAUCCUAAUCUACUUUUUCGUGGGGGAUAACGUAGGUAAACUUACUCUAAUAUCGCAUACGACCCUCGGUUGAAAGCAUGGGAUCUUCUCAGCUUGCGCGAUUGAAUUAGCCGCUGUCGGGUUAGAUAGUUGGCGGGGUAAAGGCCCAGCCAGUCGCCGAUCCGUAGCUGGUCGGAGAGGAUGGUAGGCGACCUGGGAACGGAGACAGGGUCCAGGCGCCUGAGGGAGGGAGCAGUGGGGAAUAUUAGGCAAUGGGCGCGAGCAUGAUACAGCCAGACCGCGUGGGUGAAGAAGGCGUUCGGGUUGUAAAGACCUUUUGUUGGGAAAGAAAAGCAGCAGGUUAAUACCAAGCUGUUCUGACGGUACCGAAAGAAUAAGCACCGGCUAACUUCGUG
rnacentral:rRNA from 1 species